rnacentral:rRNA from 1 species
UGGUCCUACGGGAGGCAGCAGUGGGGAAUAUUGCACAAUGGGGGAAACCCUGAUGCAGCGACGCCGCGUGAAGGAAGAAGUAUUUCGGUAUGUAAACUUCUAUCAGCAGGGAAGAAAAUGACGGUACCUGACUAAGAAGCCCCGGCUAACUACGUGCCAGCAGCCGCGGUAAUACGUAGGGGGCAAGCGUUAUCCGGACUUACUGGGUGUAAAGGGAGCGUAGGCGGUUUAGCAAGUCAGAAGUGAAAGCCCGGGGCUCAACUCCGGGACUGCCUUUGAAACUGGCAAACUGGAGUGUGUGAGAG